AAGUAUGUUGUCAAUUCCCAGGGCUCACCCUGGACAGGCGGCGGAAACUUCCAAGCUGGAGUACGGAGGGGCAGAGGGAAUUUCCGGUGGAGCGCUGAAAUGCGUAGAGAUCCGAAAGAACACCAACGGCCAAAGCACUCCGCUGGGCCGACACUGACACUGAGAGACAAAAGCUAGGGGAGCGAAUGGGAUUAGAUACCCCAGUAGUCCUAGCCGUAAACGAUGGAUACUAAGCGCUGUGCGUAUCGACCCCUGCAGUGCUGUAGCUAACGCGUUAAGUAUCCCGCCUGGGGAGUACGUUCGCAAGAAUGAAACUCAAAGAAAUUGACGGGA
rnacentral:rRNA from 1 species